rnacentral:pre_miRNA from 9 species
UCUUAUUAGCGUAAAAGUUAACUCAAAAUUGUAUGGAGUUGGGUUGUUUGCCUACCUUUGCCACUAGGGGCGCUGUUCCAACUACAUACAAAUUUGAGUUAACUUACGGUAUCGA